rnacentral:rRNA from 1 species
UACAGAGGUGGCAAGCGUUGUUCGGAAUUACUGGGCGUAAAGGGCGCGUAGGCGGCCUCCUAAGUCAGACGUGAAAUCCCCCGGCUUAACCUGGGAACUGCGUCUGAUACUGGGAGGCUAGAGUGCGGGAGAGGGAUGCGGAAUUCCAGGUGUAGCGGUGAAAUGCGUAGAUAUCUGGAGGAACACCGGUGGCGAAGGCGGCAUCCUGGACCAACACUGACGCUGAGGAGCGAAAGCCAGGGGAGCAAACGGG